CCCCCGAGCCCCCAUCACCGCGGUGCCGCCAUCCCUUCCACGUGUGCGGUGACACGGGGGGGUGUGGGGCACACGAGGGCAUCGCAGCCCCCACCGGGGGGGGUGGGAAUGGGGGCUGUUUGACCUCCAUGCUCGCUGUGGGGGGGGGGGCUGCAGGCCCGGAGCCCAACUGCAGCCUCACAGUGCGGGCAGAGUGGGGGGGGUCUCACCCUUUCCAGGCGUCGGGGUCAGGGCUGUGCACCUGGAGGGCUGUGCACGUGUGUGUGUGUGUGUGUGUGUGUGCAAAGCCACGUGUGUGCAGCUCCGUGUGUGCACGUGUGCGGGGCUCCCGUGCGCACGGCGCUGUGCGUGCACCACUGCACCACGGUUGCACAGGUGUGAGCGCUGCCGAGCGUGCCACGCGUGUGCCCGGAGCCUUUCCACGCCUGGAACGGUGCACGGCUGCACGGACCCGUUGCACACACACACACACACACACCCACACAGACACACGUGGGAUGGCCCCGCGCGUGUGCAGGGCCGCGCGUGCCCGAUCCACCCCGGGUUUUCGGAGUGACCGCGGCGCUCCCGGUUGGGGUCCCGAGCGCUGCUCCGCUCCGCCGCCGCCGCCCGAAGUUGAGUCCCGCGGCUCCGCUCCAUUCUGCCCCGGGACGCGCCGCCCCCGCGGGGUCCCGCAGCGUUCGGUGGGGGCGGACCGCGAUCCGGGCCCGGGGGGCUGCGGGGGGGAGGGGGGGGGCGCGGGGCCGUCCGUCCCGUCCAACCCUGAGCUCCGGGAUCCGCCCCGCCGGGGAACCGAACCGCGCCGGGACCGAACCGAACCGCGUCGCACCGCGCCGGGACCGAACCGUCGCCGCCGCCGGGAGGAGCGGAGCGCGGAGCACCGCCCGGAGGUGGAGGAGCUGCAGAGGCUGCCAGGAGGGACCCAGCAGCGCCGUACCCUGCCGAGACCUGAGAGCUCUUCAUGCAGACAGAAGGCCAGCAAGCGCGGCGACGCAGACCCACGUGUGCACGUAUGCUGCACCUGGGGUAGGGGCAACAUGAGGGGCGUCCCUUGGAGCUGCUCCCCCCAUCCGUGCUGCACGGCGCGGGCGCAGCACACAGGUAAGAGCCCCCCUCCCUCCCCCCAUCUCCUCCGCUUCCUCCUCCUGCCUUUCCCUUUGCUGCCCCCCGCCCCACCACCGUGCUGCCCUGCUGGCCCCCCCUCCAUUCUUCCUGCCUGACACUCUCACAAAGCCCCUAGACGAGCUUUCAAAGGGGCAACUCAUGCGGAAGAAUCGCUGCCCCCCUCACCCCUGUGCUCCCAACGCAACCCAGCUCUUUCCCAGCAGGGUGAGGGGCUCCCGCUCCCCCAGCCCCCUUCUUUGGGGCAAUUCCUCCACGGGGGAGGCGGAGGGGGCCUUGUCACCAGUGCCACCCACGUGCUGCUGUUCCCCCGCUCCUCGGCUGUUUCUCUUGCAAGCCCACGGGGGUCCCGGGGCAGGAGGGUGGGGGCAGAGCUGUGGGCUGGGAGCCGGUGCUGAGGCCAUGGGUGGAAACGGGGCCCAGGCUCCAGGCAGGGCUGAGCCCCGUGGGCUGCGUAGGUGGGACGGGGCAGGGUUUGGCCCGCAGGCAGGGCAGGGAGCCACGGGCAGGGCAGGGCUGGGUGUGAUCUGCAGCCGUGAUGCCAGCCUGGGUCCAUCGGCCAAGAGUGGCUCCAUGUGUCUGUGCCUUCGAUUCCUGUCGCAGCCGUCAGGGCUUGCCACUUCUACAGGCUGGGAACCGGAUCGUUUUUAAGGCCCUUUCCAUCUAAAUCUGUACCAGAAAGGGAGGGAUGCGGGGCUCUGCGUGCUGCCCUCCCCUGGCAGCAGCCCCCGCUCCCUUCCAGGUGCACACCAUGAGCCCCAGCUGGGCUUGGCGCCUGUGCCCCAUGCAGAAAGCUGCCCUGGUCCUGGGAGGGAGGGGAGAUGGAGCCCUUGGGGUCAGGGGCUCCCAGAUGGGCAGCAGGAUGCCAUGCAGAGGGGCAGGCAGGCAGGCAGGCAGGCAGGCAGGAGUCCCAGGGCUAUUGGGUCAGUGGAGAUGCUCCACUGAGUCCCCUUUUCAGCCCAGGAUCCUCCGUGCCCCAAAUCUCGGGAUAUGGGGCUGCUCCCCCAAUCCCAGGGCUGCUCCCCCAGCCCCUGGGCCUUUGGGCUGGGCACGCAGGGCUGUGUGCGGGCAGGGUGCGGGGCCUGGUGGGGAGGCCUCGGCCUGCGGGGCGCUGCGGCCUGCUCGGGAUGCGGCCUGUGCGGCCCCGAGGCCCGGGCGUUGCCUGCGCGGCGCUGCGGC
rnacentral:lncRNA from 7 species